rnacentral:rRNA from 1 species
AACGAACGCUGGCGGCAUGCCUAACACAUGCAAGUCGAACGAAGCCUUCGGGCUUAGUGGCGCACGGGUGCGUAACGCGUGGGAAUCUGCCCCUCGGUUCGGAAUAACAGUUAGAAAUGACUGCUAAUACCGGAUGAUGACGAAAGUCCAAAGAUUUAUCGCCGAGGGAUGAGCCCGCGUAGGAUUAGCUUGUUGGUGGGGUAAUGGCCCACCAAGGCGACGAUCCUUAGCUGGUCUGAGAGGAUGAUCAGCCACACUGGGACUGAGACACGGCCCAGACUCCUACGGGAGGCAGCAGUGGGGAAUAUUGGACAAUGGGCGAAAGCCUGAUCCAGCAAUGCCGCGUGAGUGAUGAAGGCCUUAGGGUUGUAAAGCUCUUUUACCAGGGAUGAUAAUGACAGUACCUGGAGAAUAAGCUCCGGCUAACUCCGUGCCAGCAGCCGCGGUAAU